rnacentral:rRNA from 1 species
CCAGACUCCUACGGGAGGCAGCAGUGGGGAAUAUUGCACAAUGGGGGAAACCCUGAUGCAGCGACGCCGCGUGGGUGACGAAGUAUUUCGGUAUGUAAAGCCCUAUCAGCAGGGAAGAAGAUGACAGUACCUGACUAAGAAGCCCCGGCUAACUACGUGCCAGCAGCCGCGGUAAUACGUAGGGGGCAAGCGUUAUCCGGAUUUACUGGGUGUAAAGGGAGCGUAGGUGGCAUGGCAAGCCAGAAGUGAAAACCCGGGGCUUAACCCCGCGGAUUGCUUUUGGAACUGUCAGGCUGGAGUGCAGGAGGGGCAGGCGGAAUUCCUGGUGUAGCGGUGAAAUGCGUAGAUAUUAGGAGGAACACCAGUGGCGAAGGCGGCUUACUGGACUGUAACUGACGUUGAGGCUCGAAAGCGUGGGGAGCAAACAGGAUUAGAUACCCCCGUAC